ACAUUGAAACGCCAGUUCUUGUAUGAUCACUGAAGUUAAGCAUUGUUGGGCCUGGUAAGUAUCUAGAUGGGUGACCGCUAGGGAAUACCAUGUGCUGUAAG